GGCGCGAUUCGGAAGUAACUGAUUGUUAAUCUUGCAGUAGUGACUACACGCAUAAUCUGGCUUAGAGAAAGUAUUGUAAUUUGUGAAGACGUUAUUUACACUGAAUAGCAUUUCGAUCUUUCUCCUCCAGUGUAUGUUCACCUCUGCAAUCAACCGUUUGUUCACAGUUAAAGGAGUUGAAUACGAAAAUCGCAGCAAAUUUUCCAACUAAUGUUGUGUGCAGUAGAUGGCAACAGUGACCAAAAGUAGGUUUCAUAUUGUUCUACUUAUCAGUGUGAUGUUUCAUUCAAAUUAUGUAGGAAAAUACGUAAAUUAGCAACCUAAUAGUAUGUUGAAACUGCACUGGAACCGCUAUGCACUGUAAGACCACUUACACUGCUUGAAAAUAUUCUGAAGAAUACUAACACAUUGACCGGCUACUGUACUCACUUUGUUGAGGAAAACAAUGUUUCUGUAAUUAGGAGCUGGGCACUCCGCAGUUUUCAUUUGAUGCGUUGCACAACACAGCUGUGGCAACCCUGAAAUGAUACCCAAAUUUUCUGAGUACUAACCAGGAGGACAAUUCUAAUCAAACAUACACUUCACUCAUUUAUUAUACUUUAUUACGUCGUACAAUAUGAUUUCUUGUCUUCUGUAAACAAUAGCAACACCAGCCCGAGUUCUGAUGAGAAAGGAGAAACAACCCAAGGUUUCAUAUCCACUCACACCUUAAUCUCACCCUUCCAAAUGUCACCACGAAACUGAUCCAAGGAAAAAGGUAGCAACACACUUCUAUAAUAAUUGAGUUCAGCACAAUAUACAAUCUCUGUAACCAUCAAAUGCACUUCUUCUGAUAAAUCGGUGCUUGUUCAUAUGCAAAGUCGAAAUACAGUUACUGUCAUGCAACACACCGUAAUCUGACAAUGCUCACACUACCAGGAUCACCGGUAACACAAAAAUGGACGUACAAAUAAGGUGUGCGCAAUCCACAUAAGACUCGUUGACGAGAGGUCAAAGAUUUUGAGCUAGAAUCACCUAGGCGCUUAACUAGACGAUGUUACAAAUUGCGUUCUAGUCUACCUGUGUUUGCACGAGCAAAUUGAAUAGCCAGGUGGAAUUGUUACAAACGGGACAACUACAAUGAGUACACGCUUUUCAAUACCAGAAUUGAAGCCGUGAAACAGCAGGAAUAACACCUUGAUAAACGCAGCGCCAACAUGGUAAAUAGAAAUCACUCCGUCAUUGUUCACCUGGAAUAUGAGGGAUGUCUACUGGCCGACCAAUGGUCACGGGAUCUCCCACGCCUCCGUCGAUGUCCCUUUCGCAAGCAGAGGCUCAUGGCGAAACCCCUACACUUCUCCUCAUGGUGAUGGUGUACACUGAGCCACUGGAGCAGUGAGAUGAAGCGAACAGAGAGGAGUUCAAACAAGAAAUAGUAGCCAUGAGACAGAGAGAGCAUACUUCAAAGUAGAGGAAGGAGUUAUGAGACGAGAGAGCAGAGAAAGUAGUUAUAUGAAGAGAGACAGGAGAGAGCGGAUUAUUGGAAUGAACGAGUUGGUACGAUCCGUCCCGAAAACACAGGGAAUUCAUCAGUUUCUCAUCGUACAUGAUCGCGGUUCCAUCGCCCAAUCAAUCAUCCGAAAAACUAAGACACCCAACUCGAUCAAGUCGUACGGCGGAGAUGAGACAUGUGAAAUGAGGUUGAAGGAGGAGACCCUCGCCCCAUAAAGCGCGGCACAGGGAAAAUGUAGCGGCCUGGGGCUGGGCCUGACCAUUGGUUGCAAGGGGGUUCCACGCUGGUGAGCCCCGCCCACCCCCACGAGAGACAUUACUUCGAAACUCAUCAUCGCUUCUUACUCGGUUCAACUUGGAGGAUCUUCAGAAUCGUUGCAGCAACCUUAGUAACUUUUUCUUGGAAUAAGUGUGGUGAAUAAUUUCGAAUUGGUCUAUCACUAGAAGUGCACUUCAGAGAGAUUUGGUACGAUGUUGAUCGUGCUUGUAGCAUGUGACAACUCAGUAAUUUCUCAACAGUUAUUAAAACUUGAAGACUUGCAAUAGCAAAUUAUAUUUAUUUUGCAUCAAACCAUCUCAACGCCUUCGGAUGAAAGGGCAAGACAACCUAACUUAAAAAUUUGGAAGGUUCUCUCAAAUAAUCUAUUCAGAUUUGACCACAAAAAUAAACCAAGGAUAAAUUAAUGUAAAAAGCUCAUGCAAAUUAUUGUGCCAUUAACCCAAUUCAUCCAGUAUCAAUGGUUGUAUUGACCACAAUCUAUGUUCAAUUUCAUUCAGCUUAAAGUGCAUGGUUGAAUAAUAAAAAUGCCAUUAGUAUUUUGUGCAAUAAUUGUUCAAUGUCUGGAGACACUGAUUUGUGCAAAUUUGAUCUAUUUGAACAGGGACAUAGCUAGUGAGACAUAAAGCAAUGACGGACAAGUAAUCAACAAUGCGUUGGGAUUACAAAAACAAAAGGGGCGUCACUGGCAGUGAAAUGCCACCAUGAAACUGAUACAAGGACAAAGUUAGCAACAUACUUCGAUGAUAAUUGAGCUCAGAACAGCACACAGUCUCUGUAACCAUCAAAUUCUCUUCUUCAAGUAAAUCGCUGCUUGUUUAUUUGCAAAGUUCGCAAUACAAUUACUGUCGUGCAACACAUCGUAAUCUGGCUAUGCUCACACUGCCAGGAUCACCGCAAUACAAAACUGCGUUCUAGUCUACCUGUGUUUGCACGAGCAAAUUGAAU
rnacentral:lncRNA from 1 species